rnacentral:rRNA from 1 species
CCGCGAUUCGCCCUUCGGGGCGCAGCAGGCGCGAAAACUCCACAAUGCGCGAAAGCGUGAUGGGGUUAACCCGAGUGCCGUCCGAUGAGGAUGGCUUUUCUUCAGUUUAAGGAUCUGGAGGAAUAAAGGGGGGGCAAGACUGGUGUCAGCCGCCGCGGUAAUACCAGCCCCCUGAGUGGUAGGGACGAUUAUUUGGCCUAAAGCGUCCGUAGCCUGUUUGGGAAGUCUUUCGUUAAAUCCGACGAUUCCAUCGUUGGGACGCGGAAGAUACUGCCAGACUUGAGGACGGGAGAGGUCGACGGUAGUCCUAGGGUAGGGGUGAAAUCCUAUAAUCCUAGGAGGACCACCAGUGGCGAAGGCGGUCGACUAGAACGUGCCUGACGGUGAUGGACGAAAGCUGGGGGAGCGAACCGGAUUAGACACCCGGGUAGUCCCAGCUGUAAACGAUGCGAGCUAGGUGUUGGAGCAACUACGAGUUGCUCCAGUGCCGCAGAGAAGUUGUUAAGCUCGCCGCCUGGGAAGUACGGCCGCAAGGCUGAAACUUAAAGGAAUUGGCGGGGGAGCAC